CGGCAGCGGAUAUCUCGGCUCUCGCAUCGAUGAAGAACGUAGCGAAAUGCGAUACUUGGUGUGAAUUGCAGAAUCCCGUGAACCAUCGAGUCUUUGAACGCAAGUUGCGCCCGAAGCCAUCAGGCCGAGGGCACGCCUGCCUGGGCGUCACACGUCGUUGCCCUCC
rnacentral:rRNA from 1 species